rnacentral:rRNA from 1 species
GAUGAACGCUGGCGGCGUGCUUAACACAUGCAAGUCGAGCGGUUAGGCUCCUUCGGGAGUACACGAGCGGCGAACGGGUGAGUAACACGUGAGCACUCUGCCCUCCACACAGGGAUAACCUCGGGAAACCGAGGCUAAUACCUGUUACGACCACUUCAGGCAUCUGAUGGUGGUGGAAAGUUCCGGCGGUGAAGGAUGAGCUCGCGGCCUAGCAGCUUGUUGGUGGGGUAACGGCCCACCAAGGCAACGACGGGUAGCCGGCCUGAGAGGGUGACCGGCCACACUGGGACUGAGACACGGCCCAGACUCCUACGGGAGGCAGCAGUGGGGAAUAUUGGACAAUGGGCGAAAGCCUGAUCCAGCAACGCCGCGUGAGGGAUGACGGCCUUCGGGUUGUAAACCUCUUUCAGUACCGACGAAGCGAAAGUGACGGUAGGUACAGAAGAAGGACCGGCCAACUACGUGCCAGCAGCCGCCGUAAGAC